UACGAAGGGGGCUAGCGUUGCUCGGAAUCACUGGGCGUAAAGGGUGCGUAGGCGGGUCUUUAAGUCAGGGGUGAAAUCCUGGAGCUCAACUCCAGAACUGCCUUUGAUACUGAAGAUCUUGAGUUCGGGAGAGGUGAGUGGAACUGCGAGUGUAGAGGUGAAAUUCGUAGAUAUUCGCAAGAACACCAGUGGCGAAGGCGGCUCACUGGCCCGGAACUGACGCUGAGACGCGAAAGCGUGGGGAGCAAACAGG
rnacentral:rRNA from 1 species